CCCUUAGAUGCUCUGGGCCGCACGCGCGCUACACUGGUCGAUGCAACGAGUUUCUUUCCUUGGCCGACAGGCCUGGGCAAUCUUUGACCAUCGAUCGUGAUCGGGAUAGAUUCUUGUAAUUUUUGAUCUUAAACGAGGAAUUCCUAGUAAACGCAAGUCAUCAGCUUGCAUUGAUUACGUCCCUGCCCUUUGUACACACCGCCCGUCGCACCUACCGAUUGAAUGGUCCGGUGAAAUCUCCGGACUGGCGUGAGUCGGAGCAAUCUGACAAACACCGGAAAGUUGAUUAAACCUUACCAUUUAGAGGAAGGUGAAGUCGUAACA
rnacentral:rRNA from 1 species